rnacentral:rRNA from 1 species
AGCCUUGGCCAAACCUCCUGUUCAAAGCCUGAAGUGAAUCAAGGCUGGGCCUGGUCAGUACUGGGAUGGGAGACCACUGGGAAUACCACGUGCCAUGUGUC